AUGAACGCUGGCGGCGUGCCUAACACAUGCCAGUCGAGCGAAGCACUUACUUUAGAUUUCUUCGGAAUGACGAAGUUUGUGACUGAGCGGCGGACGGGUGAGUAACGCGUGGGCAACCUGCCCUGUACAGGGGGAUAACAGUUAGAAAUGACUGCUAAUACCGCAUAAGCCCACAGCUUCGCAUGAAGCAGUGGGAAAAACUCCGGUGGUACAGGAUGGGCCCGCGUCUGAUUAGCUAGUUGGUAAGGUAACGGCUUACCAAGGCGACGAUCAGUAGCCGACCUGAGAGGGUGACCGGCCACAUUGGGACUGAGACACGGCCCAAACUCCUACGGGAGGCAGCAGUGGGGAAUAUUGCACAAUGGGGGAAACCCUGAUGCAGCGACGCCGCGUGAGCGAUGAAGUAUUUCGGUAUGUAAAGCUCUAUCAGCAGGGAAGAAAGUGACGGUACCUGACUAAGAAGCCCCGGCUAACUACGUG
rnacentral:rRNA from 1 species